ncrna:unclassified sequences ZMP/ZTP riboswitch
UAGGCGCCGUGUAACUGACGGAAAGCCCAUUUGGGCAGGCAGGCUAAACUGCCGGGGAACGCGGCGUAUAAAAAGCCGACCGUCUGGGCAGCCUCU